AGCAUGGGCCACGUGUUUGAAGUAGUCCCGCCCACAGGCACCCAGAUGAGCCAGAGAACACGUGGACCGGAGGGGGAGGGGAGGGGAGGGGCGGUUGUCUGAGGGGGGAAAACAGGCACCUCAGCAGCCCCAUGUGACGGCUCCAUUGUUGUUGCAAAUGACUUCACGUUGGCGGUGAGCGAUAAGACACGCCGUGUGAUAGAAGAGCAAGGCCCGGUUUUACUUUGCUGUCAUCAUAACAGGAAACUGGCCCACAGUAAAAAAGCCAACUUGGACCUGUUGUUACAGCUUUGUCAUUCAUUUGUUUCUUGUAGUAAGCAAGUUCACUGCCAGAGUAGCACAGAAACAACAAGCCUUGUGUUGUACAUUUAUAAAAAUAACCCCCGAGCUGCAUGCUGGGUAAAGCUCACAACAAGAAGUAACUGUGUUGCCACAUCAAAACACAGAAAAGAGCGAUACAGGAGGAACGACGAGAGACCAGAGAUGCACCAACAGAGGAGCUGUGUCUGUUUGGAGGGUCUGGAGUCCGUCGAGCCUCUCUCAACGCUAGCAGCCACAACAAGCUAACAAGCUAACACGCCAACAAGCUAUCUUUGGAUCUUUUUGGGGAGGUCGAUGUGCGCUUACUUUAAAAAACAAUACCGCCACAUACCGGGAUACCGUCAGGAUCUUUCUAAAUACCGUGAUAGCACAAGUAGACGUCCAUGAAAAACUGUGAACUUUCUUUGCAGGUUCAGCUUUGACCUGCUGCAGGGCCGUAAACAGGAUCUGAGAGAUACUGAGGUCAAAUCCCCCCCCCCCACAAUGUGCCCGUAACAACAAACAGGGAGUUGCCAAAAAUGCUGUUUCAGAUCCCUUUGCUCUCUGCCAAGAGCAGAACACUGUGUUGCUCUAAAGGUUGUGUAAUCUAAAACUACUGCCAAGAUCUCCAUAUUUACAGAAAACAAUUGUUCUACCAGCUUGAAGGUGCGCCCACUUCCAGUUUUACGUCGAAAUGAAGUGACGUACAUCUGGCUAAACUAGUUUUCCUUUUCGGACAAUUGCAUUUUUUCAGAAUAAUGGCGUAGUAGCUGUUCCAGACGCGGCGACUAACGUCCCGACUGACUAAUGUUACGGAAGCUGCAAUGAUAUGAGCAAAAGAGAACAAAGAUGAAGUAAAUCUCAUCCAAGUAGCUUUCCUGCUCCCCUCAAAACGGAUGCGUGUUCCUGUGUGAUCCAUGUUUAGUCGUUUGUCACGCUGACAAAUUCCGAUCAUUUAUGUGAGUUUUUCGGAAGCAGAUGAUAUUAAAUGCAGGGACUCUUCCAAAGCUCGGGGUUUGUUGAGUGAACGAGCGGCUCCGCUCGGCGAGGCGAACAAUAAAUCAACAUCACUGUAACCGUAUUGAAAAUUCGCCGCGUGUUUUGGCGCGUUCGGCACUCGGCCCAUGCUGACACAUCACGUGCAGCCGGUGCACACCUGCUGUGUUUUGGUCUCCUUCUCCCUUUCUUCCUCCUCCUCCUCCUCCUCCUCCAAACACCACCCCCCCCCUCCCUCUCCUCACCCCACCCCACCCCACCCUAUCUAAACCCAACCCAGUUUCCUGGCAAUGUGGUGUGAGAGCCGUUGGGCUGCGUCUUUGUUUGCGUUCCCUCCGCUUCCUCUUUUCACUGAGUGCUUCAGCCGAGCGGAGAUAGUCGGAGUGGCGUUCCCUUCCCCCUCCCCGCCCUCGCUCAGCGUGGGGCCACGUGCCAAGAGACCUGAGAUGCUCCCCGACUCCCAGUUCAAGCCACUGGCUUCCAUUGCUGCAAACACUGACACUGGUUAUUUGGAUUUCCCCCCCCCCCAGUUCUUUUCAAUAAAAAAAUUAAUAGAAAUGUAAUGCACUUCUCACUCGUAACCUAGAGGACAGGGAUUGUACUUCCUUCCCAGCAUGCAUUGGGUGACAGGGAAGGGAAGCACCACGUCUAUUCGCACACUGUGUGCGCUUGGAUCGUGAGAGUAAAUGGGAGCACCCGAAGGACACGUACACGAAAAACAGAGAGAACACGCAAAUUACAUCAGAAAGCCAGCUGCUCACAGCAGCACCAGUAGACGUGUACAAAAGGACACGUUAUACAAUGUGCUCCUACUGACAGGGUUCUGUUCACACACCGAAUGCAUGUGUGGUUUUCCUUUCUCCAAAAGAACAGUUGCGCAUUUUAGGCGUCAUGCUUGUUUGCUUUCAUGCAGGGAGUUUGAUCAGAAGCACUAAGUAAAUAUGAAGCUACAGCCGGCUGUCCUUAAGCUUAGUUUAUCUCAUAUUCUAGUUGCAGAGAAACGGUGGAGACUUAAACAUUCAGUUUCUCUGCAGCCUCAAAACAUUUAUUAGUUUAAAAAAAGGUUAAUUUUCAAAAAGUGAUUGCUGUCCUUCAGAAAAAUGUCUGGUCUGGAGUUAUAAGGUUUUGUUUUCCACUUUUUCUCUCCCCCUAAACAUGUUUUAACCCAUUUAAGGGAGUUAAAUACCUUCUAAACACCUUUCUUGAAGUCUGAUUAACUAAGUCCAACCCAUAUUUGUUGAGUUACUAUACAGGUACGACGCAGGCAGUUUGUUAGAGGUUCAUUGAGUAGCACAAUCAACCCCCCAAGGGUCAAAACACACAAGAAAGCAGAUACACAAUGAGAUCUGGAAUAUGCAUUUCAAGAAACUGCUUCCAGAAACAAUCCAUCACUAGUACAUUGAUUAAUGAAGAGCCAGAGAACAGAUCUGAAGAUGAAUUAUGUUUAUUUGGAUCCCGUAUCGAUCUCCUGUCUAAUUAUACCUACGUGGCCGAGUAUCAGUUCAUUCAUCCGUUUAUUCCCGUUCUAACAAUGACGAUCAGAAUGAACGUCGGUUCACAAUUAGGGUUCCUGUGUGCCCCGUUCUUUAGUUCUCAUGACUAAAUACUCUCCACUAUCCUCUCCAGCACAGAGAUACAGAGAGUCUCUGGAUCGGCGAAUACAAAAAAACAUUAGUCGGUGCAUCUGCAAUCGGUGUCCUUGAAAACCAAGGUCGCCAACCGAGGCGCCGCAAACCCGCUCACACUUAGUCCUCCUGGAGGACUUUUUUUUUUUUUUUUUUUUUUUUUUUAUCCCCCACGCCUCAAGCACCACAACGGUGCUGAGAAAACACCCCUCGCACUUGCUCGCUCGCUUUGUUCCACGCUCGGCGUGUGAAUGAAUCAUCCUGAAGGGCUCGCGUUCAUGACGCUGUUGCUGCUCUUGUUUUUUUUCGCCGGGGUGAUAAUGAUGAGGAGCAAGAGUUAUUAAUACACGCGCUUCCUUCGGGGGCUCACGCUCACGCGGUGGAAACGGAAGUCGACGAUGCGCCGGGAGGUUUUCACAGGAGACCCACUAUUAGAUGGUGGCUUUGCUUUUGCUCAAUUACAACAGAGAAUGAAGCUAUUGGCAUCUAGAUGAUCUGAGUUUGUGCUUUUUCAAAUGCAUUUGUCAGCCUGAUGUUGCAGACUAAUGUCACAGUGAAUCUUAGACUCAAGGUACAAUCUUGUGGCUUUUUAUUAGUUGUCUUAAGUGCAAAGAUCACGGUGAAAGGACUCAAAUUCAACUUGAGUUUUCAGUUCCCUCGAAUCUAACAGAUGUGGCCUACAUCUGAUAAUUCAUCCUUUGAUAGAAAGAAAUAUUUUGUCAGUCAACCUUCACUGCUGCUCUCUGUCCCCACACAUUUAGUUGUCAGAUGAAAAAGGCGGUUUGAUUGUUUUGCUGAAUAAAGGACCCUGAGGAAAACUGUCUGCUGUCCUUUUGAAACCUUGUUCUCAUUACAGUGACUGAUGAGGAAACAUCCCAAAGUAAACACGUCCAUUUGGCUAAAGGAUCCCCGCUGUUGUUCUUCUAAACAACCCCCCCCCCGUCACACACACCCUCCUCCCGCCUCAUGGCUCCUAUUUCCCAGUGCAUUGUGGGUAGACAAACAAAAAAGAAUCCAGGCAGAGGAGGAGGAGGAGUCCAACGUUCAGCCUCCACACCAGUGUUUCCUCAAGCCAGCUGAAGCGCCGAAGCUGAGUCACAGCGUCGCCCGAAUCAACCCGCGCGCCCACAAUGACAACACGUCGCUCUGGACACAUCUGUGCGUCCACGCACUUAAAAAACACACCCAUAUAUGGUUCCCCCCUCGGGCAGAAACACAGGGAGCCCAAAAAAAAGAGAGGAAAUAGGAAAAGAUAUUCGAAGAAAUAUAUGCAUUAUAAAUGAAAGUGCUCACGUCUCUGUGAGUCUGUGCUUUAGAACGCUGGUAAAUUAAAGUAAAAGUGUUCAAAUCAGAUUUCACAAUAAUUCUAAUAUUUCGAUAGGAAACCACGGAUGCGUGUGGGUAGCUUUAUGAUUUAGGAGGUGACCGUCAACUGCAACUGUCUCUGACUGGUGGAUCGCCGUGUCUCUCUCUGUUGUCUCUGCUGUCUGUAAAGAGCACAAUGGAAAACGUUCAUGUGUCCACACAGUGUGUGUGGAGGUGUUUCAGAUGUGACGCUAACGUACCGCAACGAGACAACAGUCGAACACAGCCGCUGUCAUUAAGGCCAGGAGAGGUAAUCAUGUGACAAAAAUCACCAAUGCAUAGCUUCUAGGGGUGUAACGAUUCAUUCACUGAAUCGAUUAAUCGAUUUAUAUUCCAGCGAUCCAACUGAAUCGAUCUGUGCUCCGCAAAUCGGCAUUCCGGACGACAUAUAUCGAUUACAAAUCGAUUGAAAUGGUACAUAAUCGAUUGUAUCGAUACUUGGAAACUGCACAUUGGAUUUAAGUACAAAAACGGUAUGGAUGUGUGUUUCUUAGUUCGUUUUUUAGCACUUUCAGCAACAUCACAGCAACAAUUGCCAAGUUUAUCUGUAAAGACAUGCGACCCUACAAUGUGGUUGAAAGUCCGGGGUUCUGUGAAUUGAUCCAAACAUUGUGUAAUUAUUGUGUAAUGUUUACAUUGAAAAUGGCACUUGAUUCAAAUAAAAGGUUAAUACAUUUGCCAUUAAUUGAUUUCCUUACAAGAAACAACAGGGAUCUCGGAAACUUUGCCUGCACUGUCCAGUAGAGUUACUGAAUUGAUCAAGUCAAAUCGAAUCGUUCUAAAUUAACCCAGAUCGUCCAUGAAUCAAUCGAAUCAUUGUUAAAAUGAAUCGUUACACCCCUAAUAUCUUGCAUACUUUAACAGUGAGAAUAUUCAAAGCCCAAAGUGAAUUGAUUUCAUUAAUAUAUAUAUCCACGUGAAGGAGUUGAUAUCAAACUCGAGCCUUGCAUGCGGAGAAUAACAUUCAUUUUAGAUUCCCAGUGCAGUCUGCCUCGCCGCUUCAGCACACUGUCACCAUGGCGAUCCCUGGGGAAAGGUCAUGAGCCGCCCGGCUGCGAUGCUUGAAGGUCUGCGGAUUGGCUAUUGAUGCUGAUGACACGAGACUCGCCGGCUCAUACUGGUCAUCCUUCCGCUGGCUCAUUUUCAAACUUUGCUCUUUCGGAGGAUCCUUUUGACAAAGCUCCUUGGCUCCCCGGCUGCACAGCACAGCUUCCACCGAUAAAUGUUUGUAAAGCUGAUAGCAAAUGUUUUUGUAAUAAAACUGCCAAAAGCUGACAUUCAGUAUCUUUUAUUUGGCAUUUCUGUGUAAAAAAACAACAAAAAAACAAUGAAUAUUUAAGGUCUCCAGUGAAACUCAUACUUGUGAAAUUCUAUUAGGUGAGUUAUCAGCUCCGCUCGCUCCUCAUGUGCAAUCCAGUCAGUGAAGAGCCCUCCUAGUCCAUUUAAAAGCAGUAAAAAACAUUAACCAAAUUGACAAGUGUUUAGUUAACAAGACACAUCUGCCCACUUAGCACGUGCUCAUUUAUUUCUGGACCAAUUGAACAUUUUCCAUAGCAAUGAACGCUUCACAUUUCCAAAUGUUCACGUAUUUUUCUUCAAUUCCUCCCCCCAUAUGUUCAGUGAUAAUCUCUGGUGAGGCCGGGCAGAAUGACUAAUCAAGGUUGAUGGAGGGGAAUUAACUGAAGUGUUUUUUUCGACUUAUAAUGCCCUUUAGAACGUAUGAAUGCAUGUUGUGCAGAGAGCUUUUCAAUUAAAUCAUAAGAAACACACAAGGCAAUCUUUAUUAGACAUUCAUCAUACAGCAUCAAUUCCAUAGUGUAUUUUCCAUCUUGUACAGUGUAAGUUUAAAGCAUAAUAAAAUGCAAAAUGAUCCAGCAAGAUGCAGGACUGUGCAUGCGUUCCAUCGUUUGCUCAAAAAGGACCCAGUCACGCCGGCAUUGAUGGGGCCCGAUUAGCCACCAGCUAUUCCACUCAGAUUACUUUUUGACAUGCACAUUGACCAAAUAGCAAAGCAUCGUGAGCGUGCUGACCCUAUGAGUAAUUAUCCAAUUUAACAUGAGCCAAACCAAACCCCCAUGGAGCCAAAAGACCAUUUUAGUGUCCAUUGGCGGAAUUUCAGGUCACAUGGCGCCCGCCGAUGAGCCUGGAAGAGGCUUAUUGUAAAUGAUCGUUGCGCUGCAUGGGAAGCUGACGGGAAUCAAUCCGGCUCCAAAGCCAGAGAAACACUGUCGGUGCUGAUCUCUUUCGGUUGGACGUGCACGGAAGGACCCAGCGUCCCUGCUGGGUGAUGUUCCACGGCAGCAGAAUGCGUGUACAAAAACUGGCAAAACUUUCACUUGCCUUAAGGUGUGGAAGUUUCGGUAGAGCCGCGUUCAUAACUAACCGUUUAACAUGCCAGCUAGGAAUAUUACCCUACCAGCCCAACGAGUAUUAUUACGUCGGCGAGUUUUCGUUUUCAGGGUGUAUCAAUCGCCUUCUCCUGUUCGGGCCGUAGAACUUUCUGCCGUGCCGUUUACACGCCACGACCCUUUCAACUAAAAUGUCAAUUUGGUCUAUUAACCACAAACAUAUUAUGAGGAAACAUUAGAAGAGGUUCACACAACGCACACAGCGUUAGCAACACGGUGUGUGCCGUGGCUGGGGAACAUUACAAAAAAAAAUCAAGUGCACAGAGGUGACGCUGACGGCGAUGAAGCAAAGGUCUGGCUGCACAUAAUCAAAGCCGAGCAAAUCGGUUUGACUUAAAAAUACUCCACGCUCACUGAAGUCAUCCACCAGAAGCUCAGCAGUCACCUCUCAUUACGCAUGCAGUAAUCACUCGCAGCCAAAGUGUGUACAUCACAGCGGGUUGGUUUUUAUUUUGAUUGCAGUGAGGUAGAUUAUUUUUUUUAUGUUGACAUUUUUAAGCCCCGCAUAACAGGCGGAAGCUGCGCGUCUGACGUGAUCGUGUCAGUGAGCUGGAAACCAAGCAUCGAAACAAAUGACGUGAAACAAUAGUAUUUAUUUAUUAUGAAUAUAACCUGAAUCUAUGUCAGGCUUUGUUUGUCAUGCUUUGAUUAUACUAUUGCACAACUGCUUCCACAACAUUUAAAUAGAUCCAUUUGACAAGUAUGCUGUUACUCAGGUAGUUGCAACUUAUCAUUCAGGGAUUUUCCAGGAACAAUUGAGGGUGUUUUUUAUUCUUUGGAAGUGUGUCGGGGCGAGGCUGCCGGAAUGAGGGCAGGAGAAGGUUCGCUGAGGUGAAGUCUCGCCACUUCCUGUUGACUACUGAAAAAAAUGUGGAGAGAUCUCCACAGCAGCCAACAACAAACUAUUGAUCCUGUUUGAAUUACACAUAUGCAAGAUUUAUACCUAAUUUAAGAUGAUUUUUAGAAUGUUUUUCACAUAUUCACAUAUUGGAGACAUUGCAUUGGAGAUAUUUGCAUGGAGAUAUUUGAUGUUUUUGCAGGUAUGGUAAUUCAGAGUGUGUUUGGCCAUUAGGUUUUCAGACACACACACGACUGCCAACAGAACGACAAAAGACAGCAGCAUCGUUUUUCUACCAGAUAGUGAACGUCGUGCAGUAGAAUGUGUUUCCACGAGGGUUACAUAGCAGAUCGUUAAAAAGGAGCUGCACACUGUUUGAUUAAUUGCUUUCCACUGCAAUUUACAGUCUUGAUUAUCCACAGUCAACGUCCCCGCUCACUGUUUUUGUUAUGACCCAUUUUUACCUUCAAUUUCAAAACACUUAGGCAAAGUAGGGCAGCAGUUAUGCAGCACCAAACAAUGACACAAAGCCACACACGUGUUGUCGGGCAGUUCUUUAUCUAAGCGGACUGAUUUGUUCCAGCAGGUAGUCAGCCGGCGGGGACCGAAACAGACGGAGAUCCGGAGAGGCGACGGCCGCUUUGCACCAAGCCGAGCGCCAUUUGGCAGAGUGAAGGUGACAGAGAUCGGUAGUCAGAAAAAGACACAGUGUUAUUGUGCAAAUGGCUUUCUUCAAGAAAUUCUCCAUAUCAGCUCAUCGAAAACCAAAAGAGAUGCCUAGUGGCCCGGUGAGCUUUAAACCAUGACGCUCUAGAUUCCCCUCUAGCGACCGUUUAGAAAGUCCCGGGUGUUGCGUGGCCGUCUCCGCCCGCUGCACACAAAAUAAACGUCCAAUUCAGGUUUAAUUAGUCUUCUGGUUUGCUAACGCAACAAAAGUGUUUUUUGCAUGAAUUAAGUGUCAAAUAAUUGUAAAAAGCCGAAUGCCUGCUGGGUCGGGAUCCGUUAUUCCUUCUCUGUGGCUCGGGUCAGGCUCAGACAGACUACUGUACAAAGUGUACGCUGUACAAAAAGAUCAUUUAUUAAACUGGGAUUCUAUUAGGGAUUAGUUAGUGAGUCUUAAAGAAAAGCCCGAUGCUCAUGGCCUUGCGAGAACGGUGAAAGGUGACAUCCGGUUGACAGCAGCCAUCCGCUCACGCAUUUGUGUACCAGUGUGACAGCGAUCUGUUAUGAAUUCACACUGCAGGUUGAUCGAUUAUAGAACUCAUUUUAUAAAUUAGACUGAUGGAGGCGACGCGAAGCUGAAAUGACCGACAGUUUAUGUAUGUCUGAGAGCAAUAUGAGCACUUGAGUCACCAAACAAAGACUAGCAUGUAGUUACCAUGUUUGUUUAAUACAUAUAAUUAGUUUACACAUGGAUAGACCGGUCCUGCAGUGAUGGAAACAAUCGGCAAAACACGAGUGCUAUUCUGGACAUUCAAUUUGAAAGUGAAACAAACAACACUUUCCACCUAUUCAUGAGUUUAGCGUCACAGCUAGUUUCCUUCAAAUAUGAAGUCUAAUGCAUGUACAAAUCAUUAUGCAUGGAAAGAUUUCUAUACAAGUCUUUAAAAUGAUCCGUCAGCAGUAUUACAAAAAUGGCCUCCGGUCCAUUUCAAUAUUUUAAUACUCACUAGUUAAAGGUUCAUUAGUUGAUUUGUUUCCUUUGAAAGUUGGGGGUACUGAAGGAAACUUUACAUUGCUAUUGUUAUUAAGUGGUAACGGCCCACAUCAUAGCAACGGGUUACUUACUCAUUUCACAGUACACACUCUCCUUUUAUCUCUGUUUUGGUCUCCGCCGCCCCUGUAAGCCUCCCUGCUCUGUUUUUGUCAGCUAAUCCACACAAUGCUCACCAACUAGUUGUUUACUUUGUCCGCAUGCCAGGAAUUCUGGUAUGUCCGUAGGAGCAACGCUUUUCAUACCACAAUUAGUGAUACGAUGCGUUGGUAUAAGAUAUGAAUAGAGUUGUUAGAAGGGCUUCGAGUCAAAUUGUGUGGGUGGUACUGUUAAGUGUUCAGAGUUUCUAUAGACUCUUACUACUACUACUACUAUAUUUUAGAAAAGUAAAUUCAUAUGCAGCUGUUUUGCAUUAGCAAUUAGAUUUUAGGGGAUGGCUUUAAAGUACUUGCCGACAACUUUUUCAUUAAUUUCUAAGGUCGAUGUUAUUUUAUUUUCAAAAGAUUCAUGUAAAGUAACAGUUGUCUUUUGCAUGGAUGGUCAGACUGAACACACUAGUACCAAAAAGUCAAAAAGAAGAGUUGAGCACAAAAACCAUACAAGGCGACAGAUUCAGUAAAGAGAUUCAUGGGGUCAUUUUUCACUGUCUUUUUAAUAUAGACUUGUAAUACGUGCAUGGUUUAUUACUUAUCAUUCAAGAUAAAAGGAAGACAUCAAUAUUCAUUAACGUUCUUACACUACUUUGAAAAACAGCGUGAUGAUUAGAUUUGUCAGAGCGAGUGGAUGUGUGUAAGUGUGUUAAGUGGAGGAGGGGUCAGACUUUUGUGUUUCAAAUUCAGCCUGGCUGAGGAAUGUGGGCUGUGAAGAGCAGGAGAACAAAAAAAAAAACUGGAUUCACAGGGAUUAGAGACAACACUGAAUGACAGCUCUUUAACUCAUUCAUUCUCCGCGGCUCAUGUUUUAUUCAUCUCUCUUUAAUAAGGUAGUUUAACCGAAAUCAAGAUGUCUUUUUAAAGGAGGGCCCUGACAACAAAAACACUUCCAUUGAACUGAUUCAAAUGUAGGUUGGCAACAGAGUUUCAAUUGGUGGUGGGGGGUGGUGGUGGUGGUGGUAAGGCCACACCAGCCCCCCACCCUCUGAGAGACCCAGCAGAUACCGAGUAUUUAGCAAAGCAGAUUUAAGCUGGAAAGAGGCUGACUCAUUAUUGUCUUCUAUCAAUCGUCCCUCAAAUGCCGCAGAAGAGCCAUUUGUGCAUCCGACAGUGUCUAUCAAAUAAAAAUGAAGAGGUUCGGUUCAGACUCUCCCCUUUUGUGUCUGCCACACAAUUACCGAAGCCUCUGCAUUAAGCACCGACGACGACGACAACAACAGCGAAGACACAGUCUCAUGCAUAGUCACACAAGGAUUGACAUCUGCCAGCAGAAGCUAGCGGAGCAGCUUGGCCGGGCUUGUUCACGGCCUUAAUCAAUGGGAGGCUUAGCCGGUGACACAAACGAUCAUGGCAGCAGCAGAAGAGGCCGCAGACUGUAGCAAAUCCCAUCUCAUCUCAUUACCAUGGACGCAUGAGAGGAGCCCCAUUGCUAUUUCUGCCAGAUCUGUCACUGCGAACGUGCAGGGGGUGGACGGAAAUGUGAAAGCGCCGGCUCUAUAUGUAAACAUCUGGCGAUAUGUGAAUAUCCAGCAGGGUAUCAAAUGUGCCCACGAGUGUUUUGUGCAUAUGUUAUCCCCCUCCGUGGCGUUUUUUCGUACCACACAGCAGGUGCGACAGCGUUUCAGCAUUGACAUAUCACAACCCCGUUCAUUUCUAGGUAUCAAUGUGGUUGCCUUCAGCGACUGAGGUUGCACGGCGCGUAUGUCGUGUUUGAGAUGUGCUUUGUAGCAUCUAAUUCCCUUCUUCGCUACACUAUUUCUAAAGUGUAGUUUCUACAUGUCAACAAGCACAACAUGCUUAUCGGGUGUGUUCAGAGGAGAUAGUGGAACUUCCACAUAGAGCUCUGGACGGAGCAACACGGGGGGGAAACAGUGGCCUUGGAAGAACGGUUAGUCGUUUUAAACACUUCGAGAACCACUAUGCAAAUAAAAUGAAUCAAGCACCUACGUAUGACGAGCGAGUUUGAUGGAUGUUUUUCAGUAUAAACUUCACACACAAAAUCUGCAUGCUGACACUGCACUUUGAAACAAGUAAUUACAGACAGAUAUCUCCCUGCAGACACGUCCGGUUAAUCAUCUGUCACUUUGUAGUUGUAGUGUAAUUCAAAGUUAAAGCGCUUUUUAAUGUGGUAUUGCUGUUAUUUGUUUGCCCCACCACUCAGUGUGUUUACAUGAUGGUAUAAUUCAAAUAUUUGCUUAGUCGGACUAUGCUCUCUUUUGGGGCAAGUGCUAUUAUCCCAAUAUACAUGGCAGUGAAUAAAUCGAAUCAUUGGCCGAAAGCAUGUCAUAUCCGAUACGAUAGGUGGCGCUGUUUUCAUUACAACUAGUUGUGAUACAGCCAUUUCCUCCUUGACCUCUUCACCACUACCAACAACAACAUCAACAUUACGGGAAAGAUGGCGAGCGGAGAGCAAGGUGAAGCUACAUCCCUCUACUGUGUGUGCAUGAUGCUAAUAGGAGCACAGCGAAUGCGAAUGGCGCUAUCGGCUGAUUUGAUAACGGAGAGAAGACGGCGUCGGGAUCUCAAGCAUGCGCAAAGACGCGAAGUCCAGUUCCUUAUCCGAUUCACCGUUACAUGCCGCAAUAGUCGAACUAUCAACUGGAUCGGAUGGAGUUAUCCAGGGGUGUUAGUCGGACCGUUGUCGGACCGCACACAGUCGGACAAAGGUGUUUACAUGAAACGGAUCAUUCGAUUUCAGUCCGACUAAGCCAGUUAUUCGAAUCCAUGUAACCACGCUGACUGUAUGUGCAGUGGAAUAUAGCGGUGCGACACGCUAAAGACAGGCAACAACACUCAAGCCAGAGCUCCCUUCAGAUAUAAGAGAUAUAUUUAGACCCGACGCUCUUUGCAGUACAAACCGAGCGGUAUUCCCCUCUCAAUCGGAACAACUGUGUUCCAGCACCACAACACAGCCAGGGGUCGUCCACACUGUCAAAGGCCCUGAUGGAAUAAUACCCAUGUUGAAUCAAUCCCUUAUGUAGUGGACACAGGAGCCGAUUCACGACCAUAGGUUCCUCUUAGCUGAUCCAUGUUUUUUUUGUACAAAGCCCGCUUUUGUGCGGACAGGAGACAAGCUGUCUUCCCAUGGCCAGCCGGACCGGCCGUGUCCAAAGCAGUGUCAGGGUGCUGCGACGGUCCUGUGUCACGGAUAACAGGACACGAACCGGCUGCUGCCGUCUCCCGCCCUGUCGUGAAAAAACAACAAGCGGCUUGUGUCUGAAGUGACUCAGAAUAUUUGACAACGGGAGCGGGGAACAGCACAUGGGAGAGUGCGGGGAAGAAUCAAAAGCGGCAGUCACAGGGACAGUUUGAAGCUUCGCUCAGAUACAAAACACCCCGGUAUCCGAACACAAAGACUCGGCAGUAUGAGCUCGGAAAGAAAGAGUCUCUUUUUGGACAUCAUGUACAGUUCUUCUGAGUAUCCGCCUGCUGUCUCGUAAGCCCCAGGCACAGUUCGCUUCAGAGUCCUCAUUGGGAGCUUGGGGGGGGGGGGGGGUGCGACAUCCUGAUCGUUGAUAGAACUGAAAAGCAAGCCUCUUUAACCGACUAAAUCUUGACCAACUAGCUGGGCAAGGCAACCAUUAUCAACCCCAGACACAUCGUGCAUUGAGGCGCUUACAAAUCGUCCAACGGUUCAUCCGCCACCGCUUGGUCAAUGCCUUUAAUGGAGCAACAAAGUACGAGUAACUAUCGUUGCCACAUGCUCUGACGCCUACUUGUCACAUUCUGCCACCUGGGCCGGGGCCCCAACGUCACCGCAAGAUGCCUCUUGAGGAGCGUCCAGACGCUGAAUAUUUGGGCAAGUGGUCAACGUUGUGAAACAACGUAGUACAGUAUAGUCAAAGAUAAUGGUUAGGGUAGAAAUAAGCUUGAAUACCCUUGAAACGUGACAGACACUACAGAUGUAAGGGAUGGUCAGUCGGUGACAUAACAUCACCUGUAAAUGAAUGUUAGUUUGACCCGUCCACUACCCGUCCACCUCCCCACACUUAUGGGACUUCUCACUGACACAACGUCAUUUACUCCGAGCUUCUAAUAAGGGCGCAGAAGUGGUUUACUGGGAGAGUGGUGUGUCAGCAUUAAGAGGCAGCCGGCCACUGCCUGAGUGUUAUUCUAAAUGCACCAACACAUGGGACACAGAGCGGAUCUCUGGGGUCAGAGUCCUGUGCUUUGUACGCCAAUCACCCUCCCAAAACCCUUCCACGGCAACGAUGUAACAAUAUCUAGGUCAAAAAAUGAUUCAGGCAGUAAUUAAGUUUCCACCAAAAGGUGUUUUUGUCCUCAGCGGAGGUCUCCGGAGAUAUGCCCAGGUGUUAUCGCGAUCCAAUAUCUACCUAGACGUGGCUGAAAAAGACUGCAGCUUUUUUCUUUUCAUGUUUCUGCAUUUUCUUGUAAUUUGUCACACUGUAUUGAUGCAUCUCUGUUUGCCCCACUCCUUUAUCAGGCAGACAGAAGGUCUCUUCAACACACGCAGCACAAACUGUGAGUGGUUAAAGAACACAAAGAGGGAUUGAGAUGAAGGGUGGGGCCGGGUGGAGGAGGACAGAGGGAGAAGUGUCAGAGAGGGGACAAAGACAACACCAUCUGACUGCAGAUGAUUGUUCCAGUCAUUAGCAUGGGCUUGGGCCCUCGCUGAAGACUCAGCAGGGCUUUUCGCUGUCGACACAAGCAAAGCUUUUAUUGAGCAAAUGAUGAUGUUGAAGUGGAGCUAAUGUGACCACUUCCACUUCUCCUUGUCCCCAUGAUGACCUUAUAUUUCUAGAGCUUUUAAAAAAUAUCUUUCAUUAAAACACGAUUAAAUGAAAUAAUGAAGCGCCGCAAUGACUGAAACUCGUGGGGUUAGUCAAUAAAACCCCCCCACAAAAGAAACCUGAAUAAGAUGGAAAACCUCAAACCACUAAUAACUAACCUGACCUCAGUGAAUGAUGUAGCACAGAGGUUUCUUAAAUUGUUUAACCCCUGUCAACAAGACAGCAUUAUUUUCCUCGAUUGCUAACUAGUGCAAAUCAUUUGUGUCAUGUGAUAAUACUGUGGUUAUGGUUAAAAACAACCUGGUUAAGUUGUUGCGGUUUGGGCUGAAAUUAGUACGUUAGGAGACAUCCGGCAUCGUGUCGACGGUGAUGAUAUACACUGAAUUGGUAAUUCACUGUUAGUAGGAACAUUGGAUUCCAUUUGUUUCCCAGUUCUGUAACUACAACAAGAAUAAUGCUGCAUCCUGAAGGCAAACUGAAUAUCGUGAGCAGAAAUGUAAGAAUCGGAGGACAACGGUAGAGACAGUUGUCUCAGUUUGCUAUACAAUAAGAAAGCUGUAUUUUAUAGUACAAUAGCAACAUUUUACAUGUCCCACACAGAAACCUUUAAUUUCUUUCCCUCACCAUAGAAACAUUUAGUCAUGGAGGUUCCGUCUUGCCGUCCUGCCGCUCCGUCGUACUGUUUGUUUGUUUUGUCCAUCUGCCUAAUUCCAUGUGAAUGCAGCAGCACGGUUUACAGCCCUAUUAGCACUGAGGCGCCGCGGUGCUUUGAGGUCAAUGUUAACACCAGCAUGCUAGCGUCCCACUAGAGUGCCGAUGUUUGGAGGCUUCCGUGUGCGCUUACAGGGUUAGCAUGCUAGCAGUAGAAAGGCUAUCGGGUUCAUCCUCUGGGCACCGUGUGUGUUUGAACCAAAUUACAUUCCAGUCCAUUUUUCAGUUGGUGGACCAGCGUCGUCAUCCCUUAGUGUUGUGAACGAAAUGAAAACAUUACAGAAACCGACACAUUGUCACGCUUGCCUAUUUUUCAAAUCUCAUACAAAACUCGCUAGCUUUGCUAGUAGGUGUGUCAUCAAAACAUCUCCGAUAGCUCACUGACUAAAGGUAAAUGGACUGCCACCUUUAUUGCACCUCUUUCGACCUCUGAAAGCACUUUGAGCUCAUCGUCAAAUCAGAGAAAGCAACUGAGAAGAUUGAACAAGUUGGAGGUGAGUUCAUCACACCUUUACAACCGAUGACAGCUCCACAAGGAAGGUGAGAGAGCCACUUUAGCUAUCGCCCUCCGGUGAGUGCGAGCGGCUCUGGGCCCACUGAAGACUGAAUGACGAACCGACACCAAAAUCCUUCUCAACCUGAGAUCAUUCCCACGUCGCUUGUUUUCCCCGGUGUGCAAUGAAAGGGUGCACGCUGGUCCAAUUUAGGGCGGCCUAAGUCGGGAUUUCCGUACGCAGAUAAAAAGAGGCUCAAUCAAGCGACACAAUGAAAUCUUUCAGAUGCAUGUCAUGGAAUCAAUCACAAACGUGUGAUUAUUGAAAGUUGCUGCCAGCUCCAGUUUCAGAAGCUCAGCGACAUCUUUGUACUGACACAAAGAAUUUGCCAGAGUGAGGAGAAAUGCAUUAAAACUUGUGAAUCUUUUGUCAUCCCUGUCAUCUCAUUGUCAUCUUCUAACACACUGCUUUACCAGCAGCCCAUCUGGUAGCAUUGUGCUAAAUUAUAUAACACUUUUAUGUUUAAUAUAAAUCCCUACUCUGUGAUUUUUCACCCACCAUCCCAAAAAACAGCCCAGUUUUUGUGUUGAUAAAGAUUCUCAGCUGAUUUCGGAGGUUUUUUUUGUCACUCAAUAAAUCAAAAAGACGGUUUGAAAAACAAAAUCCCCUGAGGAAAAAGCAUAAAAAACAAAAAAGACGAGACAGAUUCUCAGCU
ensembl:lncRNA